AGUAGGGUAGACUAACGGGAAGUCACCAGGCUCAUAACCUGGGUAUGUGGGUUCGACUCCUGCCUCUACAA
rnacentral:tRNA from 1 species